CGGACGGGUGAGUAAUGUCUGGGAAACUGCCUGAUGAAGGGGGAUAACUACUGGAAACGGUAGCUAAUACCGCAUAACGUCGCAAGACCAAAGAGGGGGACCUUCGGGCCUCUUGCCAUCGGAUGUGCCCAGAUGGGAUUAGCUAGUAGGUGGGGUAACGGCUCACCUAGGCGACGAUCCCUAGCUGGUCUGAGAGGAUGACCAGCCACACUGGAACUGAGACACGGUCCAG
rnacentral:rRNA from 1 species